UGACUACUGCAUUUACUGUUCUGCCUCUGCCUAACAUCCCAUUCUUUUGGGUCUUGUUUCGCACUUAUUCGCAUUGGCGAGCUCUCCAGGGAAGUGAGAAGCUCCUUCAGCUAGUCUCAGAUCACUCCCACGCUCAAAACCCAAAAUUUUCAAAUGGGACAGGGAAUGAACCUGAGCAUAAAGAUCCGGAAUAUGGAACUAAGAAUUUACCAAGUUUCAAAUGGGUGUUGGAGCCAUCAAAGGAGUUGGAGGACCUUAUUAACCAGGGACAUGAUGAUGGUUAUCUUAGUGAACAAGCUAUCUCACAUAUAUGCAAUAGUUUUAGUUUGAACAAGAAUGAUGUUUUGAAGUGCAGAGAUUUGGUGUAAUGAACAUAUUUUUUCCUGUCAUCUAUUGGGGCUGUGACAACAAUAUGAUGAAGAUAUAAUGCACUUACCGUUGAACACAGGGAAAUAUGUUUUAGGGAAUGAAGAUAGGAAGGAUAAAUAAGGAUCUAGCAUGUUACUUUUGAAUACCGAGGAAGUGGAUUCAGAAAUAGUGUGCAUAAUUACGUAGUUU